GUCGCGAUUGUGUAACAGCAAUCGUGUGCGGAAUGGAAAGUUUUGUGAACCUUAACACUUAGGGGAAGGAGAAGUCGUAACAAGGUUUCCGUAGGUGAACCUGCGGAAGGAUC
rnacentral:rRNA from 1 species